GUAACGGCCCACCAAGGCGACGAUGCGUAGCCGACCUGAGAGGGUGACCGGCCACACUGGGACUGAGACACGGCCCAGACUCCUACGGGAGGCAGCAGUAGGGAAUUUUCGGCAAUGGGGGAAACCCUGACCGAGCAACGCCGCGUGAAGGAAGAAGGUUUUCGGAUUGUAAACUUCUGUUAUAAAGGAAGAACGGCGGCUACAGGAAAUGGUAGCCGAGUGACGGUACUUUAUUAGAAAGCCACGGCUAACUAC
rnacentral:rRNA from 1 species